GAAGAGUUAAAGGUGACUUGUCCAAGGUCGCCUACCAAGAAAUGGGCAGGACCAGGAUGGGAGCCCAAGUUCUGACUCCUGCCAGGCAGUUCUCAGAGAUGUUGGGUGAAUGGUUACGUUUCUAGUUUCCUCACCCCCUACCUCAUUCCCAUAGACUCACAUACAACUGAGUUGAAAAUAGUUUUAUAAAAGUCUGUAUUGCCCUCUCCCCACAACAAUAGCUGAGAUUUAGAGAAGAUUUUCUAUAUGCAAGGCCUGGUGAAAGCUCUUAAUCUGCGUUCUCUUCAAUUCUUUUUUUACAGGCCUGGGAGGGAGUUUUCAUUCUAAUCUCCAUUCUACAGAUGAGGAAGUUGGGAUCCAGAGAGGCAUAGUGAUCUGACUCCCAGUCCAGUGCUCUUCCUACCACAUCCUGCUAAAUGAUACCCAGACAUAGAUAAGAAAACAAAGGCCUAAUGAGAUCAAGUACCCAAGGCCACAAGGUGAAGAAGUUGGAAUCACCUGGUUCAUUCUGACUGUAAAGCCCCACCACAUCACUAGCAGGAGAAGAUGGAGAAGCAUCAUCAUGUGACAUAAAAAAUCUGAAGCAAAAAAUUGGCAUUAUCAAGACUGCAGGCACCCAAGAGUCUUCACAAGCCAUCCUGACCCCCUUGCAAGAAUGUCAGGAGAUUUUGUUGGGUUUCUUGUGAUUCUAUUCACAGAUUCUUGUGAUGACAAUGGUGGGGAGUCUGGCUGAAAUCACUGUUAUUCUUAUCCACUUCCCCUGAGUGGUCCUUAAUUACAGAGACAAGGUAGAAGCCAAGAAGGCAAGGGUUAGAGAACAAAAGCGCUAUGGGAAUGCAGAAAGACAUCCUAAAUCUGCCUGAAGGAGAAUAGGCUUCAUCACUGUCACUGUCACUUCUCACCCAAACAGUCCCUGUGAGUGGGUAGAGAAACUGAGGAGACAUCUCUGGGUUUUUCCUGCAGGUCUUCUUGUCAUUCAAUUGUUCAGCAUUGCUCUGAAUACAGAAGUAACAUUUUUCUUGAUCUGUCAGCAAAUGGAAAUUUUCAGCCGCAAUUCAAAAAUUUCUCUAAGGGUUUUACCUCAUAAAGGAGUGUACCAAAGAAAUAGCUUCUCUGAGUGAGACAAUCACGUGUAAAUGGAAGUAGGAGGUAUAGCAUAGUAAUUAAGAGUGUAGGCUCUGGAACCAAACCAUCUGGGUUUGCAUCCUAGCUCUGCUAUUUGCCAGCAAUAUGAACUUGGCCAAAUUACUUAACUUCUUGGUGCCUCCGUUUGAUCAUCUGUAACAUGGAGAUCAAAUUUUUAUCUGCUUCAUAAGGUUAUUGUAAGAAUAAAGUGGGUUCAUAGAUGUGA